GCAAUACCGCCUCCACAGACGAAAAUUUUCUUGAGAAGGAGAGAUAAAGUUCUUUUGCCAAUAAGUGUAGUCUCAUUAGCUUCCAUACCCAUAUUUUUGCCUCUACUGAGAAAUAUGUUUGAUGAACAAUGCGUGCUGACUUCAAAUGCCAAGGAUGGGUCCAUUUGCUUAAGGGGAGAUGAUGGAUUCUCUUGAAACCUUUUUGUGUGUGCUUGGUUCAGAUUAUCAUCUCCAAAGGUUCCGAUCGCCAGCAACACACGAGGCCAGCUGGUGAAUUCUUCUGAAAAAUCCGGGAGGCUGCUGCUGAUGCGAGUGCAUGAGGAAGAUGGACAAUGAAGAAAAGGACAUGAGAGACUGAGCUAUCAUGCACGAGGAAGAUAUGAGGAAAGAACAUCUCUUCUACCGAAAAUAUAAAAUAACAUAUCCAGUGGCCAAUGGAAAGAGUCACCAUGCAAAGAAGUGUGCAGGACACCAUUUGGGCACGUGAAGCUGUCCAUGGCAUGCAUCAUAUGGACGGUGGCCCUUUAAGCAAGCUCAUAUGGGACCAUCGAAUAAGGCUUUACAGAAGGAGCAGGCAGCAAUAACUUCAACAUGGGGCCAUAACGUCGUCAUGGGCAUUAUUAGCUAAUCAGAAAUGAAAAGAGCUUAAACCUCAGAAGCGACAA